CACUUUCUUGUGCCUUCGAAGCUGCUUCCUUUCCCCAAAUUGCGAUUCAUUCCUAUGCAUUUAUAAUUCUCCCAAUCCCCCAAUAUGACCAGUGAUUUCCGAAUCUCCUAAAUCUCCAAUGAUUCCAUGUCCCUAACUUCGUUGUCGACUAUCCCUCCAAAACAUUGCUGUCAGUUACGUCUCUUUAUCUUUGUCUUUCUCGUUCGCCUCUCUCCCGCUUGCGAAAUGUCUUUUCCUUUGUUGGAUCCUCUCUGUAGGUAUUCUUUUUGUCUCUUGAAAUUAAUGGGUUAAAGAUGGGGAGAUUUGGUGUUUCCCACAUUUGGCUUUGACGUUAUAGUUGGUGGUGCAGAAGCAGAGCAAAUCUUAAGAAGAGUAACUCUAGGGUCUUUGCGUCAAGUCAGGGGUGUUGGUUUUUGAGGGUGAGUGUUAUGAAUCAGGCCCCCGUGCUACUAUUGCUGUCAGCCAUUGUUGACAAAAAAGGAUCCAUUAGUGUUAUCGGUCUUAGAAUGAAUUAGAUACUUAUCUGCUUAUGGUUUAGUCUCAUCCUAAUAGACGCUUAGACUACUUGGAAUUCUUCUUGAUCAUCAAUGGGGAAUGGUUUUCUUCUUCAUUCUAGCUUUAUUACUUGAUAUGAAUUGAUUUUAUUCAAACUGCGCUUCAAAUAUUUUGGGUAAUUUCUGGUAUAGGAGUUUGUAGUUGCUUUAUUCAAACUGUAGUUAUUUGUGAUAUUUGAGUGUAAACUCAAAUUAGUUCAUUUGUUCUUAUAUCGUUGAUCCAGUUUCAUAUAGGUGCUUGGCAAGCUAACAUUAUUUGUUGAUAAGCAAACUUUUAAUUGUUGCUUCCUUUCUCCCUAUUUUUGGUUUGUAUGGUGGAGGCUGCAAAAUCCUUUCAAACUGUCUUGGUAUCUUUUAAGAUUUCAACAAAUCAUAAUGUCAUAUUAGAAGAAUUUUGUUGUGGAAUAGCUCACAAAUUCACUAAGAAUAGUCUACCACACAAAUAACUAAGAAAAGUAGAGCACACCGCAAGUGCUAUAGAAGGUGCACUAGAGAAAACAAGAAGAACAAGCACAAACAAGAUUGAUGUGGUACAACUGAAGUGUCAAUGGAUUUUAAUCUAUGUCCGCGAAAAAAAAAAUACUAUCACAAAGAUUACAACUUAGAAGUUUAUUUCUCAUAAUAAACUCUCGCUUAAGACAACUAAAACAUUAUACAACUCCAAAGUUAACCUAAUACAAAGGUUAUAAGGUCCUAUUUAUAGUGCAAUUUCAUUAUAAUUGACCAAGCAUGAAACACACCUAUAAUCAGAUAUGAAGACACGUGAAUAAUACUUCUAAUACAGAACUAGGUGAUCGCUAGACGAAUACCCCAUAGGUGGAAACAUACAAACUGUACAUGCUUCAAUAAACCAUAAAAGACUAGUCGUCUCAUCUUCAUGUACUAUAUGUAUGAUCUAUUGCUUGUAAUUACUGAGUCGUCUAACCGUGUCAGUUGUCUAAUCCUUUUAGACAAGAUCAUACUGAGCUAGUAGUUACAAAUUGUGUGUCAAAACUAGAGAAGCAAUAAGAUUGCAGAGUUUAUUCGUUAUUGGAUUUGCUAGAGUGGAUUGUUGAUUGCAUUCUCGAGUGUCUAGAUCUACAGUUGCUCAAGUGUGUACCAGUUUGAGGGAUAAAACCAAAAGUGAUGAUUCAAACCUUUAGUAAGUAUAUAGUGUGUAUCACAUGAUACGAUACAAUUCACAAACCCCACGAUUUGAAAGACAGUAUCUCUAAGAUGAUCAUCCUGCAUCAAGUCAAGUUCUCCACCAUCUCUAACACCUCUGAGUGACUCCAUCUGACUGGGUAUAUAUAAAGGUGGAUUGACUCUCUCUUUUGCAGCCAUGUAUUUUUCUUUCUAAAUGCUGCUCUAAUUUGCUUCACUAUUAGCUCAACUUCAUGCAACUUUUCCCCAUGCCAGUUUUCUGUCUUUCCAGACACCUUUGUACUAAUGUCAUUAACUUGAGCAUCUAAAGUGGUACCUGGAUUAAGAUGGUUUCUUUAUUCUAGGUUCAACACCAACAACUUUGAGGUCAUCCUUUGUUGUGCCAAAUUCCUUAUUCUUCUUAUCAGAAUCUUGAUUAGGAUUGAGAUGGUUAUGAUGGAACGAAAUCCCUUUGUGCCUUCUUUCGAUAUUGCUAAUCCCAAUCCAACCCCAUGCAUAUUCCAUUCCCUCUGUCACGUGCAGAUUCCACAACACUGUUUGUUUGAGAUACAAAAAGUUAAAGAAUGAAUGAAACAUAAUAACACAUGCAGUUAAAAGGUCAAAUAGUAUUUGCAUCCUGAUAGGACUAUGAGGGUUUAUGUUAGGAGGAAGGUGGUUAAAACUAAAACAUAGGUUGUUAGUGGUUAGGUGGUUUGGGUUGUUCUAAGUCUCCUUAGGGGGAAGACUAUAUAUAGGAGGGGUGGUGUCUUUUAGAAGGUACGGUUUUUGUAUUUGAAGAGGCUGGACAGGAUUAGUGACAUCCUGUGUGAAGGGAAACAUUCUCCCUUGGUGGUUUUUGUGUACUUUGCUUGUGUUGGAAUAAUAAGAUUGUUUUCCAGUGAGAUUAUCAACACUGGUGUUUGUGGGUGGAAACUCUGAACGUUUUUGGCUUCUUGUUCCCAAGAAACCUAACAUUUGGUCUGACUUGCCGGAUCAAGGAGAGGAUGAUUGCAGCUAACAACAUCUUUCUCCUGGACCGGCUAGACUCUGCUACUUAUGUGAUCAUGUUCUACUUGUAUGCUUUGGCUGGGAAGUGGGAUGAGGCAGUCUAAUUUAGGAAGAUGAUGACUGAAAGGAACUUGAGGAAGGAAGUCAGUUACAGCUGGAUUAUUGUAAAGGGUAAAGGGUAAAGUCCACCGUUUUGUGGUAGGGGACAGACACUAUCCUCAACCAGAACAAAUAUACUCAAAAUUGACAGAACUCAUUUUUUUCUCUAAAAACGGAUGGAGAGUGCCUUCUCAACGAAGAGGAUGCUCUAUCUGACUUUACUGCACGCAAAGAGCAGCUUCUUGGUCAUAGUGAGAGACUGGCUAUAGCCUAUGGUCUCAUUUGCACCGCAGCUGAGACCCCUAUUAUGGUAUUCAGAAAUACACGAUCAUGCAAAGACAGCCAUGAUUUUGCAAAACGAGUCUCAAUAGUAACUGGUCGUGAAUUAGUUGUGAGAGAUGCCACCAGGUUUCAUCAUAUUAAUUCAGGGAAUUGUUCUUGCCGUGAUUAUUGGUGAUUUCAGCUUAGUUUGUUUAAAGGUCUUAGCGGCAUAGUUUUUCUUAAUGCUCCUUCAGUUACAGCAUGGAAUCAUCUAUAAUUCUAUAUUGGACGAUUGGAUAUUCAGAGCUUGUGUGGGGUUACUGUAGAUAAGGCAUUAUAAAGCAAUGCAUUGUACAAAUCUCCUUUUCCUUCAUUAUCCAUCGUCUGUUUUUCCAAUUUUGUGCACGGUAAAUUCACCUGCCCUCUAUCUUCAGGUGCUAUGGCAGAUGCUAUUAUACCUCUGCCUUGCCACUUCCCCCUCUUUCAGCGGACUUGUGUCUCUCCAAUUAUGCCAUUUGGUGUACUAACUCCCCAAAUCCCAACGUCACGCCAUCUUAGUCAUGAUUCUUCCAGUGUCACUCACGCCACCUCUUAUCUCUGUUGUGAUCUGAAUCUCCACCAGCUAAACAUGUAACCCAAGCUCUUUUAUUCUGCCAUUGCGUCUCCAUUGUUGCCGCUGUUCUCCAUGGAGGAAUGACCCUCUUCCUUAUCUAUGUCAAAUAUGGUAGGUAAUGGGGCUCUUGUCUGAUUGCAUAUGUAAGGCUGUCUUUCUCUCCAUAUGGCUUGGAGUUUCAGUUUCACCUUAUUGCUGAUGUAAAAAACUGCCGAAUUUGAAUUUUUGGGAACUACACAUAUUAAAGUAGAAUUUGAGAAAUUUAGGAAAAUUAUGCAUGUAGUUAGUAGCAAGUUUUUGUAACUGCUAGUUUUAUACUUAUUGUGUAGGCAGUAGUUUUGAUGGAAAAAAAAAAUGCGUGGACGAUAGUCAUUACUCGUUCUUGGUGUAUUAUGCUGUUAGGCCCCCUAUUUCAUAGAUGAUGUGGGCUUUUCCCCCAAUUAGAGAGAGUACAUUGGGAUUCAUCUCCAUA
rnacentral:sRNA from 1 species